rnacentral:lncRNA from 1 species
CGGCGGCGGGACUGGCCCUGCGCCCGGGCACCGCCUGCGCUGCGCCGCCCGGCCUCACUCCGCGGCCCGCCAGGACCCGGCCCCGGUGAACGGGCUCGGGGUGCCGAGGUCCGGCUGCGGGGCCGGGAAGCCACCUCCACCUUGCCGUCUGUUACGACCCCCGAGGCGCAAGGCUGAGCCCCAUCUCGCUAUCCGGGUCCGGAGGGGUUCACCUUAGAAGGAUUUUUUGAAGCUCUUGGCGCUGGCUCUAAAAGAACCCACUUCCUUGCGGAUUUCAGGAGUCAAGAAUCCUUAAACGGAGCCAAUUUGCUUUGUAAAGCCAAUUGCCCAAGUGACUUGAGUUCGAAAGGAGAUACUUCCUGGACAACUGCUAUAAAAACAACAACAAAUACUUUUAUUAAUUCGGGGAGCCUGGUCACCAACUGGAUGCUCAGGGGAGAUGGAACCCUGAGCAGCCCAUGUACAUGGAAGAUCUUUAUUGCAGAGAUCUUCAAACCAGGAAACUGAGGCUAAAGAGUUUAGUAUUCUGCCAAGGCCAGCUAAUAGUUACAGAGCAUGGUUCCAAAUUCAGAGCUGUCGGAAGCUUAAGCCCAUGUGAUGAACCACGAAUGUGAUUUUACCUCAUUUAAGCCUUGCAGCAAACUCUGCCAACUAGUGUGCAUUUACUCCUGCCUCUCCAUGCCUGAAGGAAGGAAUGAAGAGGUCUCUGCUGUCCAUCUGAGCCAGUGACUGGGCUGUCUCUACCAGGCCAGAAUUUGGGGCAGGCAAGAUUUUCAGCAUCCCUAAAAUCACACUAAGAAGAUAAACAUGGAAACAGCUUGGAGCUGCCCUACCCAUAGUGAGGUGGUACUGACUGGAAGACAGCUUAAACGAUUUGGAGAAAAGUGGAAUACAUUAAUCUCAGAAAACUCUACCACCUGUAGAAAGAGAGCUAAAAUGGAGACAACCACAGGCAGUCUAAGAUACGCUGAACUACUACAGAAAAUAAUGCAGCAUGAAGGAAUGCUGGAAGGAUCUUCUAAGGGUGUGAGGAUACAGGC